GAUGAAGAACGCAGUGAAAUGCGAUAAGUAAUGUGAAUUGCAGAAUUCAGUGAAUCAUCGAAUUUUUGAACGCAUAUUGCGCCCUUUGGCAUUCCGAAGGGCAUGCCUGUUCGAGCGUCAUUUCAACCCUCAAACUUAGGUUUGAUGUUGGGCACUUGGUGUAAUGCCAUGCCUAAAAUUUAGUGAUGGUUACCCUUGAACCAUAAGCGCACAGAGCCGCAAAAUGGAAGAGUGGUCACUAUUCUAAACCCCAUAAUUCUAAAUGUUGACCUCGGAUCAGGUAGGGAUACCCGCUGAACUUAAGCAUAUCAAUAAGCGGAGGA
rnacentral:misc_RNA from 1 species